rnacentral:rRNA from 1 species
AGUGAACGCUGGCGGUAGGCCUAACACAUGCAAGUCGAACGGCAGCACAGUAAGAGCUUGCUCUUACGGGUGGCGAGUGGCGGACGGGUGAGGAAUACAUCGGAAUCUACUUUUUCGUGGGGGAUAACGUAGGGAAACUUACGCUAAUACCGCAUACGACCUACGGGUGAAAGCAGGGGAUCUUCGGACCUUGCGCGAUUGAAUGAGCCGAUGUCGGAUUAGCUAGUUGGCGGGGUAAAGGCCCACCAAGGCGACGAUCCGUAGCUGGUCUGAGAGGAUGGUCAGCCACACUGGAACUGAGACACGGUCCAGACUCCUACGGGAUGCAGCAGUGGGGAAUAUUGGACAAUGGGCGCAAGCCUGAUCCAGCCAUACCGCGUGGGUGAAGAAGGCCUUCGGGUUGUAAAGCCCUUUUGUUGGGAAAGAAAAGCAGCAGGUUAAUACCCCGCUGUUCUGACGGUACCCAAAGAAUAAGCACCGGCUAACUUCGUG